GCAUAGCACAUAUGCUAAAAUUGGAACAAUACAGAGACGAUUAGCAAGCCCCCCCACCCCCGCACAAGGAUGACAUGCAAAUUCAUGAAGUGUCCCAUUAUUUA